AAUAAAGUCUUACUGACUGCAGGUCUAAUAAUAACUUGAAAUAAGAUGGGUUUUCUGGGUAAAAAAAAAACUAGGUCCUGUACUGGGUGGAUAAGUGAAAAGUGAAAAGACUGUAUUUUUUGUUAUACAGUAACGGCACUACAGCACAAUUAUUAAGCUCCAGUAUUUUAGCGUUAUUAUUGCGAAUAUAUAGUUUAACCCCUGUGUUGCCCGGGUGUCU